UACGUAGGGAGCAAGCGUUAUCCGGAUUUAUUGGGUUUAAAGGGUGCGCAGGCGGAUUUUUAAGUCAGCGGUCAAAUCGUGGGGCUCAACCCCAUCCAGCCGUUGAAACUGACGGUCUUGAGUGGGCGAGAAGUAUGCGGAAUGCGUGGUGUAGCGGUGAAAUGCAUAGAUAUCACGCAGAACUCCGAUUGCGAAGGCAGCAUACCGGCGCCCAACUGACGCUGAAGCACGAAAGCGUGGGUAUCGAACAGG
rnacentral:rRNA from 1 species